AUUGAACGCUGGCGGCAGGCUUAACACAUGCAAGUCGAGCGGGGUGAUGUGCUUCGGUACUGAUCCUAGCGGCGGACGGGUGAGUAAUGCUUAGGAAUCUGCCAUUUAGUGGGGGACAACAUUCCGAAAGGAAUGCUAAUACCGCAUACGUCCUACGGGAGAAAGCAGGGGAUCUUCGGACCUUGCGCUAAAUGAUGAGCCUAAGUCGGAUUAGCUAGUUGGUGGGGUAAAGGCCUACCAAGGCGACGAUCUGUAGCGGGUCUGAGAGGAUGAUCCGCCACACUGGGACUGAGACACGGCCCAGACUCCUACGGGAGGCAGCAGUGGGGAAUAUUGGACAAUGGGCGGAAGCCUGAUCCUGCCAUGCCGCGUGUGUGAAGAAGGCCUUUUGGUUGUAAAGCACUUUAAGCGAGGAGGAGGCUACUUGGAUUAAUACUCUGGGAUAGUGGACGUUACUCGCAGAAUAAGCACCGGCUAACUCUGUGCCAGCCGCCGCCGUAACAC
rnacentral:rRNA from 1 species